UUAACCCACUGAGCUAGGCCAGGGAUUGAACCCAAGUCCUCAUGAAUACUAAUCAGAUAUGUUACCCACCGAGCUACAACCAGGAACCCCAUUAUGCACCAUUUUAAAGUAAAGUUGUUACCUUGGGUCUUGAUAAACAUGGGUUUGUUGGCUUAUUUUUCCUUGAACCAUCUCUCAAAAGUCUUGAAUUCUUGGAAAGGUAUGAAUGUCUAGAGCUUCAAACUGCUGUCAUUACUGAAGGAAGAAUGGAUUUCACUGGAAAUCUCAAUUGCUUCAGAUGUCAUUAGAUCCUUCAAGCAGUAAAUACUCUGAAUCUUCCGAGCACCACAUGGCAACAUUAAACGGAUCCUAAGUAUCCUGGGAAAUCAGUUUGUGAUCCCAAAUGAUCGUGAACCACAUAUGGAAAAGAUUCCACCAGGGUCUUCAUUGAACUGGUACCUUAAAUGGAAAGGAAUCAGAAGGACCUUGAUGCAGAACCAAUCUGUCUACCCAGUGCAGGUUUUCUGUGACUGCCACCUGAAGGGACUCAUCAGAAACGGAGAAGUGACUCAUUUGGAUGGAUGAUGGCCCCAGGACCAAGACUAUUGAGCAAAUACUGGGGAGCAGAGAUUUCCUGAACCUCUCAGUAAGUGGUAAAGGAAUUAAUACUCUGGUAGAAGAGACGAGGUGUCUGGAACAUUUUAUAGUGCAACAUUGAUAGAUUUUUCUUAUCCAGCAGUAUUGCUGGAUACAAGUUUAAAGCCAGGCUGUAUUCAUUACCUGCUUUUGGUUAUGCUCACCACCUUGACCUCUGCCAUCUGGUUAGGGUGCCUGAAAAGGCCAGGAUCGCAUACACCUUAAACUGAUCAAAUCCAACAAUGUUUGGUACAAAAGCAGAAUGCUGC